rnacentral:rRNA from 1 species
GUCUGGAGACAGGUAGCUGCAUGGCUGUCGUCAGCUCGUGUCGUGAGAUGUUGGGUUAAGUCCCGCAACGAGCGCAACCCUUGCCUUUAGUUUGCCAGCAGUUCGGCUGGGCACUCUAAAGGGACUGCCGGUGUUAAACCGGAGGAAGUGGGGAUGACGUCAAGUCCUCAUGGCCUUUAUGACCAGGGCUACACACGUACUACAAUGGCCGAUACAAAGGGCAGCGACACUGCGAGGUGAAGCCAAUCCCGUAAAAUCGGUCUCAGUCCGGAUUGGAGUCUGCAACUCGACUCCAUGAAGUUGGAAUCGCUAGUAAUCGUGGAUCAGCAUGCCACGGUGAAUACGUUCCCGGGCCUU